rnacentral:lncRNA from 10 species
CCAGGGCUGCCCACCCAGACUCCCAGAGGGCAUACCUGGGGCUGGAAACUCACUCCCUGCCUUUCUGCAGAUGCCGUGUGAAGGGAGGACUCAGAUGCACUCCCUGUGGUCUGGGCUCAACCAGCCAAAAGAGCAACAAAGACUCCAGAACCCACUCUACCUCCUCAAUCCCUUGGCCAUCUGUGGAGCCCCAGAGCCUGCGGCUGUGGCAAGGCCUGUUUCUGCGCUGGACCUGCUCACCUGAGCCUGCAGAAGCUGCAUGGGGGAAGAGUGUGGCAAAUAGUGACAGGAAGGGAGAAGACAGAAGCCUCUCAGCCAACUGCUUCAGCCGAGCCCCUAUUCUAAGCACUGGCUCCUUGGAUAGCAGCUGAGAUGUUCCUGAAACCUCUGCAGGCCCCUUAGGACCUUUACACCUUGGAUGAGGGUGCCUGCAACCCAGGUUAGCCAAAAGUACUGAGGGUCUUAAGUUUGAAGUGUCCAAAGUAUAGGGAGGUCUCAAUAAUAAAAGUCUCCAUGAUCA